rnacentral:rRNA from 1 species
GCAUAUCAAUAAGCGGAGGAAAAGAAACCAACAGGGAUUGCCUCAGUAACGGCGAGUGAAGCGGCAACAGCUCAAAUUUGAAAUCUGGCCCUAGGCCCGAGUUGUAAUUUGCAGAGGAUGUUUCUGGCGAGGUGCCUUCCGAGUUCCCUGGAACGGGACGCCAUAGAGGGUGAGAGCCCCGUACGGUUGGUCGCUAAGCCUCUGUGAAACUCCUUCGACGAGUCGAGUAGUUUGGGAAUGCUGCUCUAAAUGGGAGGUAUACGUCUUCUAAAGCUAAAUACCGGCCAGAGACCGAUAGCGCACAAGUAGAGUGAUCGAAAGAUGAAAAGCACUUUGAAAAGAGGGUUAAAUAGUACGUGAAAUUGUUGAAAGGGAAGCGCUUAUGACCAGACUUGGACCGGUUGAUCAUCCAUCGUUCUCGGUGGUGCACUCUGCCGGUUCAGGCCAGCAUCAGUUCGUCCCGGGGGAUAAAGGCUUUGGGAAUGUGGCUCUUCGGAGUGUUAUAGCCCACUGCGUAAUACCCUGGGAUGGACUGAGGUUCGCGCUCCGCAAGGAUGCUGGCGUAAUGGUCAUCAGUGACCCGUCUUGAAACACGGACCAAGGAGUCGUCUUCGUAUGCGAGUGUUCGGGUGUCAAACCCCUACGCGUAAUGAAAGUGAACGUAGGAGAGAGCUUCGGCGCAUCUCCGACCGAUCCUGAUGUUCUCGGAUGGAUUUGAGUAAGAGCAUACGGGGCCGGACCCGAAAGAAGGUGAACUAUGCUUGUAUAGGGUGAAGCCAGAGGAAACUCUGGUGGAGGCUCGCAGCGGUUCUGACGUGCAAAUCGAUCGUCAAAUAUGAGCAUGGGGGGCGAAAGACUAAUCGAACCUUCUAGUAGCUGGUUUUCCGCCGACG